CAGUUUCUGUAAGUGAGAUGGACAUAGAAAGUAAAGUCCUUUAAUUUUGGUAAUAAGUUGCCUGCCAAGAAAGGAUUAUUACUAUGAAUUUGUUUUUUAUUCUUCUUGAGGUAGAGAUAUUUUUAGAGAAAAAGAGAGAUUGAAUAAGGGGAAGAAAUAAGAAAAUCAUUGUCUGUGCUAACCCUUUUACCAUAAUUCACAAUGUAAGCUUGAAAUCAGAUUGCUAUGUUAUGAGGUUACAAAAGGCCAUCAGCCACAUGUACUGAGCAAAACACUGCCUUGUGGAUUAGAGAAGCAGGGGACACAGGGAAGAGAAGAGGGAGGAAGAGAAAGGGAAAAGGAGCAGGAGAGAAAGAGAAAGCUUACCUUAGAAGAAAAUAAUGUCGUUAGGUUAUUCUGCAGUUUAAUGUUUGACUUUACAUAUUUCUUUAACAAUGUCUUACCUGUGUGUACAGAUACUACCUGUUGUUUUCACUUAUGUUACUAAGAUUCAUGGUUAAGGUGUUCAGAGUUAUUUACUAUAAAUGUGGUCAUUUGGAGAGAAAUUGUUAUAAAAUAUGUCAAAAAUUACAUCAAUAAACAACCUUAGAGAUAUUAAAUAGACAUCUUCAAUUUCUGGCAAGUAUUUUAGAGCCUGAAGUGUUGUAAAAUGAGAUAAAUAGUGUGUGGGAAAAUUCAGUUUCCUCUGACAAAUCAUGUUUAUGUUAAUGUGCCAUGUGAAGCUGAAAGAACAAAAUCUAGUUAAACAACAACAACAAUAACAAUAUCCUUCAUAUUUUGACAAUAGUGAUGGGAUGCACAUUUCUCUUUCUAGAGUUCUCAGAAGACAAAGAUGGCAGAGAUAAUAGAAAAUAUUAACUAACAUAUUAAGAUAGGAAAAACUCAUGACGCUCUUUCUGAAGACCAGCAAACUGGCUUAUAAGUUUUUGGCUGACUUAAUAUGUGAGCUGACAGAAUGCAGAGACCACGUUGUAUAUGAAGCAUCCACUUUGCCUUGUACACCAGGGCAUUCAAUAACCACUUAAUAACUACAACCCUGAUGGCCCAGUUCCCCUUCCUAGAGGCAACUACUACUACUUAUCUCCCAUAUAUAUUUCCAGGAGUGAUGGUGAGGAGGAAUUGUGCCAGCUUGCUUCUUCACUGCCAUUUUGGAACCAGAACUCAGAACCUGAGAAAGAUGAAUGAAAUUUAGUGUUUCCCAUCCCCGAGAGACACCCAGCAUCCACAACUUCACACUCUGAUGCCAUUGUGUAUUUAUGCAAGAAAUACCAUAACUAAGAUGAGGUCUCGCUAUGUUGCCUAGGCUAGUCUUGAACUCCUGGCCUCAAGUGAUCCUUCUGCCUCAGCAUCGGGAGUCACUGGGAUUAAAGGCAUGAGCCACCAUGCUCAGGAACUUGACAUCAUCAGACAGUAAAUCAAGAGGUACUGACAACUGAGACUGAGUGAUGGUCCCUGCCUAGGAUUUGGAAUCUUUGCAUGAAAUAGGGACUCUAGCCACCAGCGACAAAGAAGUCAGGGAG
ensembl:lncRNA SCN1A-AS1 SCN1A and SCN9A antisense RNA 1